CACAAUAUACACCAUGUGCAUCCCUAUGUUUGUUCGAGGCACCAAGAUGCCCCCGGAGGACGAGUGUCCCAGAAUGUCUAUGGCCAAGAUACGAAGUCUGUCUCGGCCCAAUUCCAAGGCCUCCUCGGAGAAGAAGGAACCUGCAACUGCACAACCACCAACUGCACAGGUUCCAGCCGCACACCAGUAAGAUGAUACGGCAGUCCGUUGGCGAUCUAUGUCGGUGGCGGCUGUGUGUGGCUAUUUGUCAGUGAGGGACUCUUAGCGGGUGAUUGAGGACUAAUGAAGCUGGAUGAGAACUCCGCUUGACCGCCUCAAGGGAUGAGAUAACGAAGAGGGGGGGAUAUUCCAUUGGACACAGCAAUAAUUUAAUUUUAAUGAACAGAUUUAAUGUGAUACGGUUGUUUCGACCAACAUGU
rnacentral:misc_RNA from 1 species